rnacentral:sRNA from 1 species
AUCCAGAGAAUUAAUAUUAUAUCAGAAGCAGGAGUGCAAACUCCCUUAGACUAACCCAUCCGUGUGUCUCAGUCCUGACCUGAAGGGGAAUACCUCCAGAGAU